rnacentral:rRNA from 1 species
AUUGAACGCUGGCGGCAUGCCUUACACAUGCAAGUCGAACGGCAGCACGGGGGCAACCCUGGUGGCGAGUGGCGAACGGGUGAGUAAUACAUCGGAAUGUACCCAGUAGUGGGGGAUAACUAGUCGAAAGAUUAGCUAAUACCGCAUACGCACUAUGGUGGAAAGCGGGGGAUCGCAAGACCUCGCGCUAUUGGAGCAGCCGAUGUCCGAUUAGGUAGUUGGUGGGGUAAGGCCUACCAAGCCUGCGAUCGGUAACUGGUCUGAGAGGACGACCAGUCACACUGGGACUGAGACACGGCCCAGACUCCUACGGGAGGCAGCGGUGGGGAAUUUUGGACAAUGGGGGAAACCCUGAUCCAGCAAUGCCGCGUGUGUGACGAAGGCCUUCGGGUUGUAAGCACUUUGGCGGGAACGAACGGCGCUUCUAAUACAGAGCGCUAAUGACGGUACCCGCAGAAUAAGCACCGGCUAACUACGUGCCAGCAGCCGCGGUAAUCU